AUUGAACGCUGGCGGCAGGCCUAACACAUGCGAGUCGGGCGCGCGGCGGACGGGUGAGUAAUGUAUGGGGCUCUGCCUGAUGGCGGGGGUUAACUACUGGAAACGGUAGCUAAUCCCGCAUACCAUCCGAUGAUCCAAUACGGGAUUAUCUAGUAGGUGAGGUAACGGCUUACCUAGGCGACGAUCCCUAGCUGAUCUGAGAGGAUGAUAAGCCACACUGGAAAUGAGAAACGGACGAGACUCCUACGGGAGGCAGCAGUGGGGAAUAGUGCACAAUGGGCGAAAGCCUGAUGGAGCAAUGCCGCGUGUAUGAAGAAGGCCGUCGGGUUGUAAAAGACUUGCAGUCGGGAGGCGUUACCGAAAGAAAAAGCACCGGCUAACUACGUGCCAGCAGCCGCGGUAAUUC
rnacentral:rRNA from 1 species